UACGGAGGGUGCGAGCGUUGUCCGGAAUUAUUGGGCGUAAAGAGCUCGUAGGCGGUCUGUCGCGUCGGCUGUGAAAUCCCGAGGCUCAACCUCGGGUCUGCAGUCGAUACGGGCAAACUGGAGUGUUGCAGGGGAGACUGGAAUUCCUGGUGUAGCGGUGAAAUGCGCAGAUAUCAGGAGGAACACCGGUGGCGAAGGCGGGUCUCUGGGCAACAACUGACGCUGAGGAGCGAAAGCGUGGGGAGCGAACAGG
rnacentral:rRNA from 1 species